rnacentral:rRNA from 1 species
CCCGACUCCGUGAAGCUGGAUUCGCUAGUAAUCGCGCAUCAGCCAUGGCGCGGUGAAUACGUUCCCGGGCCUUGUACACACCGCCCGUCAAGCCAUGGGAGCCGGGGGUACCUGAAGUCCGUAACCGCGAGGAUCGGCCUAGGGUAAAACUGGUGACUGGGGCUAAGUCGUAACAAGGUAGCCGUACCGGAAGGUGCGGCUGGAACACCUCCUUU